rnacentral:rRNA from 1 species
UCCCGACACGGGGAGGUAGUGACAAUAAAUACUGAUACMCGGCUCYYYYSGGUCUUGGAAUUGGAAUGAGUACAAUUUAAAUCCCYYAACSAGGAACAAUUGGAGGGCAAGUCUGGUGCCARCAGCCGCSSYMMUYCCMSCUCCAAUAGCGUAUAUUAAAGUUGUUGUGGUUAAAAAGCUCGYAGUUGAACCUUGGGCCUGGCUGGCCGGUCCGCCUCACCGCGUGUACUGGUCCGGCCGGGCCUUUCCCUCUGUGGAACCCCAUGCCCUUCACUGGGUGUGGCGGGGAAACAGGACUUUUACUUUGAAAAAAUUAGAGUGCUCCAGGCCGGCCUAUGCUCGAAUACAUUAGCAUGGAAUAAUAGAAUAGGACGUGUGGUUCUAUUUUGUUGGUUUCUAGGACCGCCGUAAUGAUUAAUAGGGACAGCCGGGGGCAUCAGUAUUCAAUUGUCAGAGGUGAAAUUCUUGGAUUUAUUGAAGACUAACUACUGCGAAAGCAUUUGCCAAGGAUGUUUUCAUUAAUCAG